rnacentral:rRNA from 1 species
UACGAAGGGACCUAGCGUGGUUCGGAAUUACUGGGCUUAAAGAGUUCGUAGGUGGUUGAAAAAGUUGGUGGUGAAAUCCCAGAGCUUAACUCUGGAACUGCCAUCAAAACUUUUCAGCUAGAGUAUGAUAGAGGAAAGCAGAAUUUCUAGUGUAGAGGUGAAAUUCGUAGAUAUUAGAAAGAAUACCAAUUGCGAAGGCAGCUUUCUGGAUCAUUACUGACACUGAGGAACGAAAGCAUGGGUAGCGAAGAGGAUUAGAUACCCUCGUAGUCCAUGCCGUAAACGAUGUGUGUUAGACGUUGGAAAUUUAUUUUCAGUGUCGCAGCGAAAGCGAUAAACACACCGCCUGGGGAGUACGACCGCAAGGUUAAAACUCAAAUGAAUUGACGGGGACCCGCACAAGUAGUGGAGCAUGUGGUUUAAUUCGAAGAUACGCGCAGAACCUUACCAACACUUGACAUGUUCGUCGCGACUCUAAGAGAUUAGAGUUUUCGGUUCGGCCGGACGAAACACAGGUGCUGCAUGGCUGUCGUCAGCUCGUGUCGUGAGAUGUUGGGUUAAGUCCCGCAACGAGCGCAACCCUCACUUUUAGUUGCCAUCAUUAAGUUGGGCACUCUGAAAGAACUGCCAGUGAUAAGCUGGAGGAAGGUGGGGAUGACGUCAAGUCCUCAUGGCCCUUACGUGUUGGGCUACACACGUGCUACAAUGGUAUCUACAACAGGAAGCAAGACUGCGAAGUUAAGCAAAUCCCUAAAAGAUACCUCAGUUCGGAUUGCACUCUGCAACUCGAGUGCAUGAAGCUGGAAUUACUAGUAAUCGUGGAUCAGCGUGCCACGGUGAAUGCGUUCCCGGGUCU